rnacentral:rRNA from 1 species
UACGAAGGGGGCUAGCGUUGUUCGGAAUUACUGGGCGUAAAGCGCGCGUAGGCGGUGAUCUUUGUCAGAGGUGAAAUCCCGGGGCUCAACUCCGGAAUUGCCUUUGAAACGGGAUCGCUUGAGUCCGAGAGAGGAUGGCGGAAUUCCUAGUGUAGAGGUGAAAUUCGUAGAUAUUAGGAAGAACACCGGUGGCGAAGGCGGCCAUCUGGCUCGGUACUGACGCUCAGGCGCGAAAGCGUGGGGAGCAGACAGG